UUUGAUAAUCGAAUGAUUAUGUAUUCGUUUUUAUUUUGAGAAAAUGAAAAUAUGUAAUACAUAAAUGAGUACAAUACAAGAAACUUAACGCAUACGGAGAUAAAAAUGAGUACAAUGUUUAAACAAAGCGAGUACAAAAUUGGUAUAGUGUUGAGUACAAAACAACAACUUGAGUAUAACAACAAAUUGAAGCUUAUCCCCACUGUAGUAACCAAAUUUCGCCCGGGUGUGAGAUUCAUAUCAAUGUCAUAUCGUUAAACAACCCUACCAUCUUUAGUGAGGAUUUAACACCGAGCCAAUCUUAUCCAUCCAUCUCUGUGUGACAGUUUGAUAUUUUGUCCCAAUUUGAUAUCAGGCCUGUUUCUCGGACUCGUUCCUCAGGCCCAUGUUUCAAGUCCGUUUUUUUCCUGCUCUAAAAGGCAGCCACCUCUUUAUCUUGUCAGAAUGCAGUGUUGAUUUGAAAUUGAUAUAUGAUAGAGGCAACAACCUUUUUCAUUCUAUAAAUAAACAUAAUCAAAGGAGAGUUAUUUUUUUAGGCAACCUAAUCAAUGAUAGAACCAUCACUUCUAUCAAGAGAAAUAAGAGCAGAUCGAGAUUGAGGUUUUACCAUUCAGUAGGUUGUUUUUUUUUAAUCUUUUGCUUUCAUUUUUCCUGAGCGAUUCAAGUCGGUGUUUUUUCGUCUUUUCACCUAAAAUUCAACAAAGAACGGUUAGUUUCAUUAUUGGCUAAAACUAAGUCUAAGUCAGGGAUUUUAAAAAGAAAACAGAGUUUUUUUUCUGCACCUGGGUUUCCCUCUCUCUGUUCGUUUCUUCUCUGGUCGUCGGCAGCGGAGUCUCCUUUUCUUUUCUCUCCAUCGAUUCCCCAACAAAAAAAGAAACAAAGUAAAAAAAGACAACUAAGGUCAGAAGGAGUAAUAUAAACGUCAAUCAAACCCUAGAUUUACCGAUCGGAGCUUGUAUGUUAUCGAGGACUCGCCGGAGGCAUCCUUCGAUGACAUGCAAGCCGAAUGUGUGAAAUAAGGAGAAACGAUGGGUAGAAAGGGGAUUUCAGUAUUGUAUCUUUUUUCCUUGUUCUUUUCUUUCUCCGCCACCGUUGUAAGGGGGAAAGCGGAGGAGGGAGCCCUGUGGCUGAGUAAAGAGGGGAAAAAAGGAAGAUAAAAAAGCAGAAAAGGCGGCUAUCAGCGCGACCACCACUGUGGGUGAGAGAAGAGGAGGGAAAGAAGAAGGGAAGUAGAAAGGAAGAGGAGGCAACGACAGCACCGCCGCCUUUUGUGAAGUGGAGAGGAGAAGAAGAAGGAAGAAAGUUGAAAGGAGGAGGUGGCGAAUUGGUGUUUGUGGAAGGUUAAGAGGUUAUUUUAUAUGGCCGAUUAAGGUCACCGAUAAAGUUAUUAAUUUGCCCUUAGUUUUCGUUCAGUAGUGGAAUUUGUGUUCUGGCCUUUUCAUCAUUUCACCUCCCCUACAACAAUCAGGUGCUGUAAGGUUACGAUUUUGCCCCUAGUCUCCAGCGUGCAGACCGAUCAUGGGUAUUUAUCCUUUUUUUUAGUCUCGGGUCGGACCAUGGCUGGUCGGACCGAUUGAUUUG
rnacentral:lncRNA from 1 species